rnacentral:rRNA from 1 species
GAUGAACGCUAGCUACAGGCUUAACACAUGCAAGUCGAGGGGAAACGAUAGAGAAAGCUUGCUUUUUCUAGGCGUCGACCGGCGCACGGGUGAGUAACGCGUAUCCAACCUGCCCACCACUUGGGGAUAACCUUGCGAAAGUAAGACUAAUACCCAAUGAUAUCUCAAGAAGACAUCUGAAUGAGAUUAAAGAUUUAUCGGUGAUGGAUGGGGAUGCGUCUGAUUAGCUUGUUGGCGGGGUAACGGACCACCAAGGCGACGAUCAGUAGGGGUUCUGAGAGGAAGGUCCCCCACAUUGGAACUGAGACACGGUCCAAACUCCUACGGGAGGCAGCAGUGAGGAAUAUUGGUCAGUGGGCGAGAGCCUGAACCAGCCAAGUAGCGUGCAGGAUGACGGCCCUAUGGGUUGUAGACCUCUUUUAUAAGGGAAUAAAGAUAAGUACGCGUACUUAGUUGCAUGUACCUUAUGAAUAAGCAUCGGCUAACUCCGUGCCAGCAGCCGCGGUAA